AAAUAAAAUAAAAUAAAAAAAGGAAGCUUAGCAAACUUUUGAAGGGGUUCACAAGUGAAAGAGAGAGAGAAAGCUAUCAACCGACCCAGAAAACUCGACCCAAACCCAAGAACUGACCCAAUCGUAUUUCACAAUUCUGGCCACGUGACUGGCCGAAUAAGGUAUUGAUCAGAAGCUUGAAGAUCGGCCAUCAUAUCCUAGCCAUCAUCGCCGCCGAAGAACAACUAAAACGACAGCAAUCAAAGCUUGAAAACCCACGACUUUUCCAACUUGCUUCGCCACGAUUUUUGCCAGUUUUGGGUGACACCACCUGCUAAGUUUUGUUUCCCACAACCCCUUCUUCAAUUUCAAACCAUCCACAGCCACUGGGGGAGCUGAUUUGCUGUCCAUCAGCCAUUGAGAGAUUUACGAUUGUUGAGCUAAAUUUCGAUGCCGGCGCCACGCGUGGGAGCUCACUGUCGAUACCAUUGAAUUCAGUUUGGCCAGAAGUGUCUAAUCCAAGCUUUUCGGUCACUGCCGCUUGAAUUUCGGUCACCGUUGACUGUCAAUGAUAAUACGGUAAUUUCAUAUUUUGAGGCAAUUUUGUAAUUGUUGACCCUAUAUAUAUUUUAGUAAUUUUUAAAAUCAAGGAUUGAUUGUAAUUAUGAUUCCGAGGAUAAUUCGGUGAUUUGCAAUUUUAGAGUAUUUUAAUAAUUUAUGGAUGUGAGGGUAUUUUGGUAAUUUUGUUGACACUGGAGUUGUACAUUAUUAAUAGAUGCUCAUUUCGAGUUUAUCGAAUAAAUUUAGUCCUAACUCUGAUUUACUGAAAAUAAUUAUGUUGUUUCCUUGAUAGGGAAGGAUCUGCGAGCAAGAACCAGUCCGUGGACGUGGACGAAAACCGAAUCUGAACAUCGUCACUGUAAGUGGAAUAUACAAAACCUAUUUUCAUAAUAUAUUAUGAUUUUACGAUAUAGUACAACAUAUUUGAUAAAUAAGUAUUUAAUACUUCAAUUUAAUGAUUUUCUGGGAAAUGGAUUAUUAUCUACAUGUUGUUAUUUAUUAUUAAAAAUGCGUAUGAUUAAUGAUUUUAUUAUCGAUUUUGAGUAAAUGCAUGACAAUAGUUUUUAAAAAAUAAAGUGGAUUUAAAGUAUGUAAAUGGAAAAAGAAAUGAGAUUUAAAGUAUGAUUAUACGUUUAUGUAUAUGUAUAUAAAAGGUUGUUUGCAAAAUCAUUGGAUAAUACCCUUCUCCCGAUACAGUGAUACAUUUAUGAUGAGGCCUUUGGGGCCCAUCUGAACACACAUAGAGGCUUUAGCCCGUGUGUUUGGGCGCUUCUGCCUUUUAGAGGCAUAUACAUGUGAUAUAAUGAUAACAGUGACACAGAUACAUAUGAUACAGAUGAAAUACACGUCUUUGGUCAUAUCUGAGCACACAUAGAGGCUUUGGACAGUGUGUUUGGGCACUUUUGUCCUUUAGGGACUAGAUUAUGCAUACACAUAUAUGACGGGAUGUGAGAUGACACUCCCUUAUUUAUCCGUGUAGCUCCGGGGCAUGACGAUACCUACAUAAUAGGUUAUUGCCCAUCCGUUGAGGUCCGGAUACGACGAGAUUAUUUCCUUGGGUACUUGUUUAGUGAUGAUUUCAUAUUUGUGUAUUUUAUAUGAUAUUGUGAUAUGAUUUCCAUGGUUAAUACAUAUGAUAUUAUAUAUGCUCUUCAAGGUUAGUAAUCUGAUUUAUAUGUUAAAUGAUUUAUUAAUGUUUUCUCGUAUAUGAUUUGAUGAAAUCCUAUUUAGAAAUGAUAUAAUUAUUUUUUUAAAAGUAAAAAUUUAUUUUCAAAAUUAUUAUCCACUCACUGAGCUCACUAAGUUUUAUACAUAUCC
rnacentral:lncRNA from 1 species